ACCUGCCUGGUAGCGGGGGAUAACUAUUGGAAACGAUAGCUAAUACCGCAUAACAGUAGAUGUUGCAUGACAUUUGCUUAAAAGGUGCAAUUGCAUCACUACCAGAUGGACCUGCGUUGUAUUAGCUAGUUGGUGGGGUAACGGCUCACCGAGGCGACGAUACAUAGCCGACCUGAGAGGGUGAUCGGCCACACUGGGACUGAGACACGGCCCAG
rnacentral:rRNA from 1 species